rnacentral:rRNA from 1 species
UAUGGGAGCUUGCUCCCUGAUGUUAGCGGCGGACGGGUGAGUAACACGUGGGUAACCUGCCUGUAAGACUGGGAUAACUCCGGGAAACCGGGGCUAAUACCGGAUGGUUGUUUGAACCGCAUGGUUCAAACAUAAAAGGUGGCUUCGGCUACCACUUACAGAUGGACCCGCGGCGCAUUAGCUAGUUGGUGAGGUAACGGCUCACCAAGGCAACGAUGCGUAGCCGACCUGAGAGGGUGAUCGGCCACACUGGGACUGAGACACGGCCCAGACUCCUACGGGAGGCAGCAGUAGGGAAUCUUCCGCAAUGGACGAAAGUCUGACGGAGCAACGCCGCGUGAGUGAUGAAGGUUUUCGGAUCGUAAAGCUCUGUUGUUAGGGAAGAACAAGUACCGUUCGAAUAGGGCGGUACCUUGACGGUACCUAACCAGAAAGCCACGGCUAACUACGUGCCAGCAGCCGCGGUAAUACGUAGGUGGCAAGCGUUGUCCGGAAUUAUUGGGCGUAAAGGGCUCGCAGGCGGUUUCUUAAGUCUGAUGUGAAAGCCCCCGGCUCAACCGGGGAGGGUCAUUGGAAACUGGGGAACUUGAGUGCAGAAGAGGAGAGUGGAAUUCCACGUGUAGCGGUGAAAUGCGUAGAGAUGUGGAGGAACACCAGUGGCGAAUGCGACUCUCUGGUCUGUAACUGACGCUGAGGAGCGAAAGCGUGGGGAGCGAACACGAUUAGAUACCCUGG